ACUAAUUGAGCAUUCUCGAGAGGACCCAUUUAUAGAUUGGUGCUUACAGAGUAAGCUGGCCAUGUGGCAUAUCAACUAUGCCAGGGAGAUGAAUAUAUAUUUUAUGUUUAACUUUAACUUUUUAAAUAUUGUUCCAUGAAAGCUAACUGCUAAUUGCUUUUAAACAGGUUUGUUACAGGACCGUCUCCCACUGAAGGUGACAUCGCAUGGGUCGAAGAUGAAGAACUUCUCGAAGAAAUUGAUGCCUGAGUAGGUCAUAAGUAUU
rnacentral:lncRNA from 1 species